rnacentral:rRNA from 1 species
AAUCCCGUGAACCAUCGAGUCUUUGAACGCAAGUUGCGCCCGAGGCCCUCGGGCCGAGGGCACGCCUGCCUGGGCGUCACGCAUCGCGUCGCCCCCUCCCCCGGCUCCCGCGGAGCGGGGGGUGGAGACUGGCCUCCCGUGCGCUCCCGUCGCGCGGCCGGCCC